rnacentral:rRNA from 1 species
CCCGCUGAACUUAAGCAUAUUAUUAAGCGGAGGAAAAGAAACUAACAAGGAUGCCCUCAGUAACGGCGAGUGAAGCGGGCAAAGCUCAACCUGAAAAUCGGAUUCCUUAGCGGGAUUUCGAAUUGUGGGCUACAGACGCGUAAUCAGUGUGUGACCCAGGUAUAAAUCUCUUUGAAACGAGGUAUCAUAGAGGGUGAGAAUCCCGUCUGUGACUUGGAGUUCGCCGCGUACGAUUCGUGUUCGCAGAGUCGCGUUGUUUGGGAUUGCAGCGCUAAAUGGGUGGUAAAUUUCAUCUAAAGCUAAAUAUCGACGAGAGACCGAUAGCGAACAAGUACCGUGAGGGAAAGAUGAAAAGAACUUUGAAAAGAGAGUUAAAAAGUACUUGAAAUUGCUAAGAGGGAAGCACUGGAAACCAGUCGUGACCUGCGUGUAUAUUUAGCAUAUGCGUCUGGAUCCGCGUAGUGUUGGGAGCCAAAAGCCUCAUAGCUAUUCGGUGAAUUGCGUGUUAGCGACCUGUACUGUGGGUUGAGUCAGAAUCAAUUCGAUUCGUGAGAGAAAGCUAUCAUAACGGUAGGACCGCGGGGGCAACUCCAAGGUCUGUUUAGUAUGGUAGUGCUAUCAUGGAUUGGAUUGAGGGACAAUCAACAACGCGCCCCGCAUGGGAUGCGCUCCCCGACCCUUGGUGAUCAGAAGGUUUGGACAACAAAGUUGUGCUAUCUUCGAAGUUACCUACUGGAAAGGAUGAGCGACAAGCAGCGUUCGAGAUUCUGACGAAAUGGUUUUCAUUGACCCGUCUUGAAACACGG